rnacentral:rRNA from 1 species
UACGGAGGGUGCAAGCGUUAUCCGGAUUCACUGGGUUUAAAGGGUGCGUAGGUGGGCAGGUAAGUCCGUGGUGAAAUCUCUGAGCUUAACUCAGAAACUGCCGUGGAUACUAUUUGUCUUGAAUGUUGUGGAGGUGAGCGGAAUAUGUCAUGUAGCGGUGAAAUGCUUAGAUAUGACAUAGAACACCAAUUGCGAAGGCAGCUCACUACACAAUUAUUGACGCUGAGCACGAAAGCGUGGGGAGUCAAA